rnacentral:rRNA from 1 species
GACGUAGGGGGCCAGCGUUGUUCGGAAUUACUGGGUGUAAAGGGUUCGUAGGCGGUGCGGCAAGUUGGGAGUGAAAUCUCUGGGCUUAACCCAGAGGCUGCUUCCAAAACUGCUGUGCUUGAGUGUGGGAGAGGCGCGUGGAAUUGCAGGUGUAGCGGUGAAAUGCGUAGAUAUCUGCAGGAACACCCGUGGCGAAAGCGGCGCGCUGGACCACUACUGACGCUGAGGAACGAAAAGCUAGGGGAGCAAACAGG